CCCUUUAAGACGCGGACACGGACAUGGACAAAUUGGUGCUGAAAACCAUCGCCUCCGCAGUGGGCAGUGACCAAUUGGAUGGCAGUGCACUCCGUCGACCAUGUUCCUCUUGUCAUAGCAACAGCAACGGUCAUGGGUGGGGCUGCUACCUGGAGACGAGGAAAGAACCCUGGCUUUACGAUUGAUUGGAAGGAAUCAGCCAUGUCAUACCUUGUAGAGUGGAUGAAUCGCAGGGAAGCAGCGUAGAGCGGCGACAGCGUAGACUUCAACUAGAAAUUUAGGGAGUUUCCAGACCUGGGCCACCUCUCAGCUGCACAUCUUCACCUCUGGAAAUCCAUCUGUGACAGGGGAAGAGGAUAUCAUCUCCUUCAGGAGUGGUCACUUUUAUGGUAGAGCAGUACCAUUCAUCGUCUUUGAAAGUAAGGCAGGGGUCUUUCUCCACUUUGAGCAGCAGAAGUCUCCCCAGAGAUGAGCUGCUUUUUAUGAUAGUGCUGUUCCCAGGGCCUUGUCGUCUCUCCCACACCAGCUCCACUAUACCCCUGGUCUGGAGGAGACUGGCACACAGCUCCCUCAUGGUCCGAGAAACCAGUGAGAGCUGGCACAGGCUGAAGCUGUCCAGGAAGCU